rnacentral:piRNA from 1 species
UGCGGGUUCCAGUAACCAAUGGAUGCCA